rnacentral:rRNA from 1 species
UACGGGGGGUGCGAGCGUUGUCCGGAAUCACUGGGCGUAAAGGGCGCGUAGGUGGCGCGGGAAGUCAACGGUGAAAGUCCGGGGCUCAACCUCGGAUCGGCCGUGGCGACUCGUGGGCUGGAGCACUGUAGAGGCGGGUGGAAUUCCGGGUGUAGCGGUGGAAUGCGUAGAGAUCCGGAAGAACACCAGUGGCGAAGGCGGCCCGCUGGGCAGUGGCUGACGCUGAGGCGCGACAGCGUGGGGAGCAAACAGG